rnacentral:rRNA from 1 species
CUCUCGGGUGACGAGUGGCGGACGGGUGAGUAAUGUCUGGGGAUCUGCCCGAUAGAGGGGGAUAACCACUGGAAACGGUGGCUAAUACCGCAUAACGUCGCAAGACCAAAGAGGGGGACCUUCGGGCCUCUCACUAUCGGAUGAACCCAGAUGGGAUUAGCUAGUAGGCGGGGUAACGGCCCACCUAGGCGACGAUCCCUAGCUGGUCUGAGAGGAUGACCAGCCACACUGGAACUGAGACACGGUCCAGACUCCUACGGGAGGCAGCAGUGGGGAAUAUUGCACAAUGGGCGCAAGCCUGAUGCAGCCAUGCCGCGUGUAUGAAGAAGGCCUUCGGGUUGUAAAGUACUUUCAGCGGGGAGGAAGGCAUUGUGGUUAAUAACCGCAGUGAUUGACGUUACCCGCAGAAGAAGCACCGGCUAACUCCGUGCCAGCAGCCGCGGUAAUACGGAGGGUGCAAGCGUUAAUCGGAAUUACUGGGCGUAAAGCGCACGCAGGCGGUCUGUUAAGUCAGAUGUGAAAUCCCCGGGCUUAACCUGGGAACUGCAUUUGAAACUGGCAGGCUUGAGUCUCGUAGAGGGGGGUAGAAUUCCAGGUGUAGCGGUGAAAUGCGUAGAGAUCUGGAGGAAUACCGGUGGCGAAGGCGGCCCCCUGGACGAAGACUGACGCUCAGGUGCGAAAGCGUGGGGAGCAAACAGGAU